CAGUCGCCGCGGGAAUAUGUAGGGUGCAAGCGUUAAUCGGAAUUACUGGGCGUAAAGCGUGCGCAGGCGGUUUGUUAAGACAGAUGUGAAAUCCCCGGGCUCAACCCGGAAACUGCAUUUGUGACUGGCAAGCUAGAGUGUGGCAGAGGGGGGUGGAAUUCCGCGUGUAGCAGUGAAAUGCGUAGAUAUGCGGAGGAACACCGAUGGCGAAGGCAGCCCCCUGGGCCAACACUGACGCUCAUGCACGAAAGCGUGGGGGGCAAACAGGAUUAGAUACCCCCGUAGUCCCUGUCUCUUAUAC
rnacentral:rRNA from 1 species